UACGGAGGGGGCCAGCGUUGUUCGGAAUUAUUGGGCGUAAAGGGCGCGUAGGCGGCCUUCUAAGUCGAACGUGAAAUCCCUGGGCUCAACCCAGGAACUGCGUCCGAUACUGGGAGGCUUGAAUCCGGGAGAGGGAUGUGGAAUUCCAGGUGUAGCGGUGAAAUGCGUAGAUAUCUGGAGGAACACCGGUGGCGAAGGCGGCAUCCUGGACCGGUAUUGACGCUGAUGCGCGAAAGCCAGGGGAGCAAACGGG
rnacentral:rRNA from 1 species